GACGAACGCUGGCGGCGUGCUUAACACAUGCAAGUCGAACGGGCCUGUCUUCUUUUUUGGGGGUGGGUUGAGUGGCGAACGGGUGAGUAUCACGUGAGUAACCUGCCCUUCGGUCCUGGAUAACCGCUUGAAAGGGCGGCUAAUACGGGGUGGUCCGGUUGGUCCGCAUGGGCUGGUCGGGAUAGAUUCACUGUUUUUGGUGUUUCGGCGGGGGAUGGGCUCGCGGCCGAUGAGCUUGUUGGUGGGGUGAUGGCCUACCAAGGCGGUGACGGGGAGCCGGGCUGAGAGUGGGGGCGGCCACACUGGGACUGAGAUACGUCCCAGACUCCUGCGGGCGGCAGCAGUGGGGGGUAUUGCACAAUGGGCGGAAGCCUGAUGCAGCGACGUCGCGUGAGGGAUGGAGGCCUUCGGGUUGUGAACCUCUGUUUCCGGUGGUGAAGGCCCUGUCCGUGUGGUGGGGUUGACGGUAGCCGGUGAUGAAGCGCCGGCUAACUACGUG
rnacentral:rRNA from 1 species